AAACCUGUUGUAUACCAUCAUCAUACGUUUCAUCUUCCUGUAAGUCGUGUUCUGGAGAAAGGUGCCAGUAGGAAGAGUUUUUCACCUGUGAAAAGCUUGGGGAAAAUGAUGGCCCCAAGGACUCUUCAAGACCACAUCAAAAUUUUGAAAAGAGACAAAAAAUCACAGGUUAAAACUUACAGUCAUAGGAAUUUUGUUAUUCAAAAGUGCUAAAUGAAUUGUUAUUCUUGCUCUUCACAGUAUUGAAAGACAAUGGUUUUCUCUUCUAAGGCUGAAGGGUGGGAAAAGUACAUUAUAUUUCAGAAAAACUGAAUAUUGAUCGUCACAUACAGAAUGAAUUUAACUACAAGCCUUCUAAAGUACCCCAGGAUCAUUUUACAGACUUUUGAGACAUCUUACUGGUUCCUGACAGACUCUUUAGGUUUAGGAACACUGUUUUUAGUCUAAAAGGUGAGGCAAUAUCAGGUUAAUAUUGUAUAUUUAUUAGAAAAGACUGACUUCCUGAUACAGCCUUAAACUCUUAGUAUUGAAAUAAAGGCAUUAACACAGUUUAUUGAAUGGGAAAAAGAGUUUUGGUUAAGAAACAAAAUAGCGAGUCAGGAAGUCAAACCCUGUGUGAGUUUGACUGGUUAGGAAUAUUUUUAUAUACUGAAGAACAUAUUUAGCUUGCCCAAUUUGGAUGCUGUAUAGUAUUAAAUUGUAAGGGCAGGAUAUUUUUCCUAGGUCUUUAAAAAUCUCUUUCAGAGGAACCUGCCUUCAACACUUUAAAAAGGAAUUUAGGUAUCUAAUUUUGCUGGUGUGAGAGUCAGGCACCUUCUGUUUGAUGAUCACCCUACUUAGACUAAAUACCUAGAAUACAUCUUGUAAAGUCCAGUUCUGGCAGUACUGGACUUACAAUAUCAUUGGAGAGAAGUUCAGACUACUAACAGUUCAUUAUCAGUUCUUUCCAAGCUUUCUUUAAAUCACUCCAUUUUAGGGUGGUCUCCAUUUCAGGCUGCACUAAUUCCUUAGGCAUCAACAUGAAAUCUCCAGUUUGUAAUAAAAUAUACUCUAAUAAGGGAAGACAUGGAGUUUCCAGUGGGCAAAAGAAGAAAAUCUUGUGACAAGGUAUAGUAAAACCACUAGCAAAAAUAUUGUUUCAAUAUUGCAUAGUAUAAUAGGAGCAAAAUCAUCCUAGUUGGUUUGAAUGAUACAUAAGUGAGUCAGAAACGUGAAGGCAGACCUGUAGAACCAAAUGCCAGAGCUGUCCAAAAGUAUCCUGAUAACAGACACUCUCACUGUAAGCAUUUCAUAGCAGACAUACUCUGUAGGCCACCAGGUAUUUUCAUUCCCUUCCCGCUAGCACAACUUAUACUAGUCUGUACCUUCUAUGGAUUUAUAAGAAACCACUUCAAUUCACAGUUCAAAAUUUCUGUGAAUUCUGAAUGCAGACAGAUAACAUGAUAACACAGCGUGGGAUUUUUUGUGUGUUUUUUUCCUGGGUUUAAGUAGACAAGAAGUAACAAACAAAUGUUAAUACUGCAGUUAUAACUACAAAUAUUACAUUUACAUGUGAGUGUCUAAACUUUUCAGGCUUUUCUCAUCACUUUUUUUUUUUGAUUUAGCCACAGCAGUAAAGAAAAUUACUUGUCAUCAACAUAUACAUAUUCAUUGAUAUCUGCAAAACUACUCACCCACGUGGGCAACAGUAGAAAAUGACCUUUAGCUGUCUAAAAUGUAGGCACCUUGUCUAAACUAGUUAUCCAGGUUUACUUUAAAUUCGGUGUAGUCAGAGAUGUUACCAAGAGAGAACCAAUCCUAUUGUAAAAAAAUUUCCUAAGAUAACUGAUUUUACUUUCUCCUUAGAAAUGUUUUUGUUUCCAUUGGCUACAGAGACACACUAGCCAGGACUGAGUCUAGAUGCCUUACAGCUGAGCUUAGGUCGGAUGAAUCCCACCUGGCUGCUGGUUUUGUCUCUUAAAUCUCAUGUACUUAGGAACUUAAUAAUCUUAUAUAAUCACAAAACUAUGAUUAAAGCCAAUAAAAGAUGAGCAUAAACAGUGGAUUGAACAGUGAAACUCCAGAGGAGCCCUUGACUCUAGGCAACAGUGUGAUUGGAAAAAUGAAUCCUCCUGUAUCAUCUCCUGCUACAAGGGAUACAAGUAAUUCACAUUUCCUCGUCUGAGCACUCAACUGCGACUUGUUAAUACUAAUGGCAGUAAACAAUUGUCACAUGAAACAAGUAGAAGUAUAGGGAAGUACCUACACAUCCUCAUCUCAUUUGACAUUUCCAUAGUGAUUCUCACAUUGGUGAAGCUGAAUGAAUAGUUUUGGAUGGGAGUUGCUCUAGAGCACAUCAAUUUAAGUUGGCUUGUUUCAGACUGUGCUUUGCAGACUGCACGUUUCCCUCAGACUCUCCAUUCAGCUGAGAGCACAACAGGCCAGUUGUAACAUGAAAAAAGUUAUGCCUGUCCAUAAAUCAUAUGUAUUCUUACUCAUCAAAUAAGAUGCCUUGGACUGUGACAAUUUCUCUUUUGCCAAUAUAUUUUUCAGCUGAUUUAUGAUACUUGCACUAAGUGUAUGAUCUCCAAGUAUCUGGAAAAGAAGCCAUGUACUUUUGCCUUGAACUCACAAAUGUCAGUCCCUGUGCUUUUGAGGGUGUGAGUGAUUAUUAAUCACUCUUAUGCUGGCUUUCUUAACAAAACUCACGCUGGCUAAAAUCACAACACAAAUGUCUUUGUUUCCUAGCCUCUGGCUCCAAAACAAUGCUCUUUUAUAAAUGUUAGCAAUGCCCAAAUACCCAAUCUUGCUCUUUGGAAAAUUAUAAGCAUGACAUUUCUCUAGAAAAAGGCACUUAUCACACAAAAUAAUUUUUCUGUUUGAUUCUACAAUACCAGUUUGAUACCAGUGACUCUGUGGAGUUCUUCAAUAAUCAUAAGCACGCUGAGAAUCAGCCCCUGUUCCUCUCAGAGUGCACUUGGAGCUGUGAAUCUCCAGGCACUUGCAGGUUUCAUGCACUGGCCACAUUCAGAAUACCCUGAUAUGUGCAGGGAUCAGGGCUUCACCGGACAUGUAACUGAUCCCUCUUUGUCUCAUGUCUUGCCAUAUAUUAAAAUCCUAGUUACUUUUCCAGCACUCAUAAGCAAGCAUAAAAAUAACUGAAAAAUUUAAAUUCCUGUAAUCUCUAUCUUUUUCAUAUACACAGACUAAAAUCUUGCAAACUUUAUUAAUUGACAUGUAAUGAUUUCACCUGCUAUUUUCACUGGCACCAGCAUUUCAGACCCUCACAAGCAACAUUAAGUUAUCCUCCAGAAACUUCAGAAAGGAUUGCCCUGUCCUGUUUAUGACUAUAGUUCAACUCAGCAUUCAUUCUGUAAUGUUUCUGCUGGAUGUGCUUUCACUUAUGUGUUGAAGGAAACUACGACUCUUUCACAUGCUGAGAUUUUUCUGGGAGUGUGAAUAUUACUUCUAAAUCUAGGCACAAGUGUUACACAUUUAUAAUAUGUCCCAAGAAGUCUACCAUCUCUGAGCCAACAGACAGCUUUCUCUGCUACUGCUGUUUAGACUCACUAACUAAAAAUUGGCUGUUAAUUGAAUCAUCAGGGUACAUUUUAUUGUUUAUUGUUGUCUUUUGUGAAUCUGUUCAGUUCUAUGUAAGAUAAGUACAAAGGGAGUUCAGUCCCCUAAAAACUUUUCUCUAGGAUAUGGAUAGAGAAAGAAGGCACUUAGCACUGCUCAGCAUCAGGUACCUCAUGCAACCAGCUACCUCUGCUCACUUCUCUUCACUAAGACCCUCAAGAGAUGACUCUAAAGCUACGUGCCUAAGCUGGAGCCUACCCAUAUGUCUGAAAAGAUGUGGUGGAAGGUCUUAUAUAUGUUAUAUCUAUUUUUCUGCCUCUUAGUUUGGUUUUUGGAUGUGUUUUUUUCUUCUUCUUCUGUUUUUAUUACUUUCUUUCUCUUUUAUGGCCUUUGAAUGCAGAUUUAAAUCAACAGAGAAUUGAGGCCACAUGUGAGGAUAUCAUUCACAUGCCUUCCUGCUAUGUUCUGUAUUAGUAUCGUCAUUUUCCUUUGGCAUUAUUUCUGUGCAAUGAUAAUAACAAUUCUGUGGCACCAGAAUUAUCCUGGAAGUGUGAUAUUUACUAUUGUCUUGGCCUUGCCUGAGCACAGAAUUUUACUUGCUAUGAAAUGUGUGGUAUUUUUGAAGAGAAAAUACUUGGUCACUGAACAGUCUUAGAAGGAUGCCAGCAUGGGUAGAUGAGAUGUAUUCUGCCACUGGAAUCAGCAGAUUUUAUUAUUUCAUUGGAGUGUACUUUUUCUCAUUAGCAAAUAUGCCUGCACUAGUCUAAGAUUUAUUAUAUAUCUUCUCAGUAUAAUUUGGCCUACCUUUCUGCUGUCAUUUUGCAAGCUGAGCUUAAGCUCUAGACAUGAAAUUCUUCUUAAUAAAUUCAUGCCAAAAACUUUUCAUAAUCUUGAUUAAUAGAAAUUAAUUAAAAAGUCACUGCUCAAACGUCAAUUUUUUUCUGGCUUCUCAGUGUUAAAAAUCACAAUACUACUCCAUACAUUAGAAUAUUGGUGUCAGAGAAAAGCAGGAUAAUAAAAAUAGACUUAUUUCAAGCUUA